CCUACGGGAGGCAGCAGUGAGGAAUAUUGGACAAUGGGCGCAAGCCUGAUCCAGCCAUGCCGCGUGCAGGAAGAAGGUCCUAUGGAUUGUAAACUGCUUUUAUACAGGAAGAAACACUCCCUCGUGAGGGAACUUGACGGUACUGUAUGAAUAAGGACCGGCUAACUCCGUGCCAGCAGCCGCGGUAAUACGGAGGGUCCAAGCGUUAUCCGGAAUCAUUGGGUUUAAAGGGUCCGUAGGCGGCCAAAUAAGUCAGUGGUGAAAGCCCAUCGCUCAACGAUGGAACGGCCAUUGAUACUGUUUGGCUUGAAUUAUUAGGAAGUAACUAGAAUAUGUAGUGUAGCGGUGAAAUGCUUAGAGAUUACAUGGAAUACCAAUUGCGAAGGCAGGUUACUACUAAUAUAUUGACGCUGAUGGACGAAAGCGUGGGGAGCGAACAGGAUUAGAUACCCUGGUAGUCCACGCCGUAAACGAUGGAUACUAGCUGUUCGGAGCAAUCUGAGUGGCUAAGCGAAAGUGAUAAGUAUCCCACCUGGGGAGUACGUUCGCAAGAAUGAAACUCAAAUGAAAUUGACCGGNUGAGAGAGCGACGACGACGACGAGGGAGGAGG
rnacentral:rRNA from 1 species